rnacentral:lncRNA from 1 species
GAUCACAUAAACUGUACAAAAGCCAGGUGCAAUUUUGGACACAGAGCUUGGAACGUCCAUCGUCUUGAAUCUUCUGAGUCUAAGUGUUGUAAGUAGCCAGAUAUGGAAUAAUGCAAUAUUUGUGAAUACUACAGCUUAUUGGGAACAAUAAAAAGUACCUGCUAACGAAACCAUUCCUUGAUGCAGCUCCCAUCACCAGAUUCUCUGUGAUAUUGGCUGCAACAUAGUCACUUAUGGCGUUUGCUAUGUCUAUGCCUUCAAUUACAACUUCAUUGACGUGGAUCUAUGACAAAGGGAGAAACACUGAUUCAGAAAAUGGAAGUACGUUUGCAAGAACGCGAUGAAGAAUGAGUAAGAAAUAGCAGACACUUACAUUCUUGCGGUUGCAGAAGCAACGAAAGGGUAAGAACAAUUCCUUUGCUUGACUAUCAGGAUCACUUCUAUACACUCUGGGAGUUCCGUCAUUAACAUCUGAAAAAUAAACGUUGUUCCAGGUACAUAAAAAAUGCUUUGAACGUAUCCAUAUUUUCUUUUCUUUGGAGGUAGUGGGUAGAAUGGAAUGCACGGUUGAAGCCUGUGACGGAUGUAGGUUUUGAACAAGGUUCAACUAAACCCAGUAUUUCGAUAUAGAGAUAUAUAUGUAAAAGAUCAGUGAAGUUUUAACAAAUAUUAGAUUAUGAGUUCAAUAGGUUCUGUGCUUAGAACUUUAAAAAUUGAAACUAUCAGGUUUAAAUCUCGGAUCCGUCAUUUUUUAAGCCAAGACGGAGACCUCUUAUCAACUAAAAAUACUUCAUGGCAUUUUCUAUGGAGAAAUGGACUUCCAUUUUGAAGUUGCUGUUCCAAUAUUUGGGAAGAAUUAAAUCUGGGUUACAUUUCAUGGUAACUCACUCAUUGGGUUGUUCUGUAGAGAAGGAUAUAAUGAAAGAUUUCAUCCAAAAACAGAAAUAGGAUAGUCCUUCCAUUCCCGUUCCUUUUCCUUCAUAUAUAACAAUAUUUCCUUAUUCGUUCGUUCUAUAAAUGAAUGAUACUUUAUGAAUUUGAAAAUACUUAAACGUUAAGCGUCUUAAUUUACUUUUUAUGUUGUGCAUUUGUCACAUACAUCUCUUAGCAUCAAAGGCGGCUCAAUGGAGUCGGUUGCCUAAAGCUAAGUUUUAAUAAGAGGAUUAAGCUUAUUUAAUAAAACAUUUUGUAUUCAUUUUUGUUUAAAGCUUAUUCUUUUAGAUUUUUAAGAUAUAAAGUUGUCAAUAUUUUUAUAAUCGAUUUCUUAGGAUAUUUCUUUUUCAUUAGACAAUGUAACUAAUUCAUUUAACAAAUCAAAAAUAUUAUAUACAUUUCAUGUUUAAUUUUAAUUAGCUAAGCGUAUUUAUAGAGGCUGCGAGGAGCUGCGAGCGGCUGGAGAUUGUUGGCGGUUGGCGAGGCAGAGGGAGGCCUAAGAAGCAN